rnacentral:rRNA from 1 species
AGAGUUUGAUCAUGGCUCAGGAUGAACGCUGGCGGUAUGCGUAACACAUGCAAGUCGAACGAAGUUUUUCGGAACUUAGUGGCGGACGGGUGAGUAACGCGUGAGAAUCUGCCUUAAGGAUUGGGACAACAGUGGGAAACCGCUGCUAAUACCAAAUAUGCCUUUUAGUGAAACGGGUAAAACCGCCUUAAGAUGAGCUCGCGUCUGAUUAGCUAGUUGGUGUGGUAAGAGCGCACCAAGGCAACGAUCAGUAGCUGGUCUGAGAGGACGACCAGCCACACUGGGACUGAGACACGGCCCAGACUCCUACGGGAGGCAGCAGUGAGGAAUUUUCCGCAAUGGGCGAAAGCCUGACGGAGCAAUACCGCGUGAGGGAGGAAGGUUCUUGGAUUGUAAACCUCUUUUCUCAGAGAAGAAUAAUGACGGUAUCUGAGGAAUAAGCAUCGGCUAACUCCGUGCCAGCAGCCGCGGUAAUACGGAGGAUGCAAGCGUUAUCCGGAAUGAUUGGGCGUAAAGCGUCCGCAGGUGGCAAUGUAAGUCUGCUGUCAAAGCGUCUGGCUCAACCAGAUAAAGGCAGUGGAAACUACAUAGCUAGAGUAAGGUAGGGGUAGAGGGAAUUCCUGGUGUAGCGGUGAAAUGCGUAGAGAUCAGGAAGAACAUCGGUGGCGAAGGCGCUCUGCUGGACCAUAACUGACACUCAGGGACGAAAGCUAGGGGAGCGAAUGGGAUUAGAUACCCCAGUAGUCC